GACGAACGCUGGCGGCGUGCUUAACACAUGCAAGUCGAACGGAAAGGCCCUGCUUUUGUGGGGUGCUCGAGUGGCGAACGGGUGAGUAACACGUGAGUAACCUGCCCUUGACUUUGGGAUAACUUCAGGAAACUGGGGCUAAUACCGGAUAGGAGCUCCUGCUGCAUGGUGGGGGUUGGAAAGUUUCGGCGGUUGGGGAUGGACUCGCGGCUUAUCAGCUUGUUGGUGGGGUAGUGGCUUACCAAGGCUUUGACGGGUAGCCGGCCUGAGAGGGUGACCGGCCACAUUGGGACUGAGAUAUGGCCCAGACUCCUACGGGAGGCAGUAGUGGGGAAUAUUGCACAAUGGGCGGAAGCCUGAUGCAGCAACGCCGCGUGCGGGAUGACGGCCUUCGGGUUGUAAACCGCUUUCGCCUGUGACGAAGCGUGAGUGACGGUAAUGGGUAAAGAAGCACCGGCUAACUACGUG
rnacentral:rRNA from 1 species